UACAGAGGGUGCAAGCGUUAAUCGGAGUUACUGGGCGUAAAGGGCGCGUAGGCGGUUGAAUGGGUGUGAUGUGAAAGCCCUGGGCUUAACCUAGGAAGUGCAUCGCAAACUAUUUAACUGGAGUAUAUGAGAGGGUGGCGGAAUUUCCGGUGUAGCGGUGAAAUGCGUAGAGAUCGGAAGGAACGUCAAUGGCGAAGGCAGCCACCUGGCAUAAUACUGACGCUGAGGCGCGAAAGCGUGGGGAGCGAACAGG
rnacentral:rRNA from 1 species